CAGUCGCCGCGGGAAUACGUAGGGUGCAAGCGUUAAUCGGAAUUACUGGGAGUAAAGCGUGCGCAGGCGGUUAUAUAAGACAGAUGUGAAAUCCCCGGGCUCAACCUGGGAACUGCAUUUGUGACUGUAUAGCUAGAGUACGGCAGAGGGGGAUGGAAUUCCGCGUGUAGCAGUGAAAUGCGUAGAUAUGCGGAGGAACACCGAUGGCGAAGGCAAUCCCCUGGGCCUGUACUGACGCUCAUGCACGAAAGCGUGGGGAGCAAACAGGAUUAGAUACCCGUGUAGUCCCUGUCUCUUAUAC
rnacentral:rRNA from 1 species